rnacentral:rRNA from 1 species
ACAAUACGGGGCUUAAAGUCUUGUAAUUGGGAUGAUGGGAAUUUAAACCUCUUCCAGAGUAUCAAUUGGAGGGCAAGUCUGGUGCCAGCAGCCGCGGUAAUUCCAGCUCCAAUAGCGUAUAUUAAAAUUGUUGCAGUUAAAAAGCUCGUAGUUGAAUUUCUGCUGCAUUGCUUGUGUUCCUCUGGGGUCUGUGCAUGUGGCUUUUUUCGGACGGAGUUUCUUUGUCUGAAUGUUUACUUUGAGAAAAUUAGAGUGCUCAAAGCAGGCUUUCGCCUUGAAUAGUUUAGCAUGGAAUAAUAAAGUAGGACUUUGGUUCUAUUUUGUUGGUUUUAGGUACCAAAGUAAUGGUUAAUAGGAACAGUUGGGGGCAUUCGUAUUUAACUGUCAGAGG